AGCUCAGUUGGUAGAGUACUUGCCUUGCAUGCGUAAGGCCAUGGGUUCAAUUCCCAU
rnacentral:tRNA from 1 species